AUAUCUCGUAAUGAUUUUUAACUUUAUGGAUAAUUCUAAUAAUUUGUGGACCAAAUCUCUGUCUUUCUUUACUGAAGUAUUCGCAGUUUCCAAGCAGCUGAUUGCAAGCGAGGAAGACUCAGCAUAAGUAUCUGGUCGCCAAUCACCUUUCUGAGCACUCAGCAGCCCUUCCUGGUUUUUGGAGAAGGUCAAGUGAACUUCCCAACGGAGAGACUUCAACAAGUUCUCCACUUCUCCAAUUGUGCUGGACUCAUCUCGGACGAUCAAUUUGCCUCCAGGUCUUACUAUUCGGUCGACCUCUGCCAAGACAGGUUGCAGUUUGCAUCUAUACAAGAGAAUAGGUAGUCGUUAUUUGUGCAUGAGAAGCUUAAAAGAACACAUAAAUAGAGGACUUGAGUAAGUAUCUCUACUACCUCUUUUUCAAUUUGGAGAAAAGAUGAUCAGCAUGUAGUAGAUCAUAUGUUCUUGGAUAUGUGCUGAAGGAUUCACACCAAUCAUGGUAAAUCCCAAAGAGACCACGCUCGUAGAUCACUGGAAGUGUAUCGGGAGAGUCAAUAUUCACCACAUUCAUUACCCAGACUUUAAGGUCUCUCAGAGCUGCUGCAAACCUGCAAUGACAAUGUUUACAUGAUGUUAAAUGUUGAAAUGUUUGCAGUGAAAGUUGUAAAUUGUGAGUAAGCUGAAAAGAAACAGAAUGAACUACUCUACCCGCCGUAAACAGAUCUCAUAUCCAUCACAUUCCUAAUGUUGGACAAAUUUAUGCCUAAUCCAUUCAUGUAAGUUUUAUUCACUACUCUUUUCCAAUGUUCAUAAUCAGUUGAGAAAUCUUGAGGAGCCGGUUUGCCAUAAACCCCCAUCUGGGAGCUAUUUAGCCAGUAAGGUGGUGCUUGCAACCUCCGAGGCCAUUGCUCCGGCCAGCUGCUUCCUCUCAGAGUGUUGUCAACCGGCGCACGAUGCAUGCAUGCCUGCAGUGGCACAUACCUGAAAAUGAAAUCCAAUGCAAAUCAAACUAAUCAGCGCUAAAACCAUUGUAAAAAAACAGAGCUCCAGAUAUCCCUGAUGCUUUAGUUACCAUGCUGCAUUUGGGUCGUCGUCGUUUUUGCACAUUGGGGGAUGCUUGUGUUUUCUUUGAUCGUAGCAUUCGUUUGAGGUUGGUUUCCUGUAAAUGGCAGCGCCUACAGAGUUCAGCUUGUCCUUUUGAAUUGUCACAAGCUCCCAACACAUAGACUUCGUCAAAGCAGACAUUUCUGAAGGAAAAAAAACCGAUAAGUGACGGAGUUGCUUAUUUGUUAAACAUGUUUUGUUUCUCGCCUAAUAACACACCUUUCCAAAUCUCAACGUCUUCUUCUAGGGUCUGGUACACUGGAGUUGCAGACCAAACAAAAAAGCCCCCUGGUCUCAACACUCGAUUCAAUUCUAAAAGAAGCAUUCCACCUGUAUCAUUCGGAAAAAAUGGCACUCUACAUCGAGCACAGUGAAUAGUAUCAAAAACCAUGCUUGGAAAUGGCAGACGUUGUGAGCCCAUGACAGCAGAAAUGGCUGGAAUUCCCCUCUCCAGGGCAAAUUGGACUUGAGCUUCAUGUUCGUCUUUUGGAGCAAACGACAUUGUAAGCACAUCUUUUUCAAACAGAAAGCCGCCGAAGCUGGCCACUCCACAGCCUACGUCCAAUAUCACUCUUGUUCUCUUUCCCCAUGCAAUAUCCGGUACCGACUGCAUCCAAUUCAUAUAUUAGUUUAUAUUGGACUCUAAUAUUGAGAUCAAGUUGGGAAUUUGAUUUUGAGGUCAUUUUAUUUUACUUGUUGAAGAAAAUCUAUGUAGUGCAGAGCGCCGUGGAUGAACUGGGUGCCACCGCCGGGGAAAGUCAAGAACUCACCGGUGACCUUGACCCAAUUUUGGUGGCCUUUCACUUCAGCAAGUUUUGUAUGUGGUACAUUGUGGUACCAAAUCUGGGGCGAUCCACAAACAAAGACAAGUAAUGAUAUGAUCAAGUUCAGAAGGGUUCAUGAUGGACUAAUCACAAGUCACAGAAUCAUCUGUUUAUAUAUUACCUUGUCUCUACUUUUAGGCCAUUCAAUGGAUCUUUUGUAACCUUCCGGGAGAGAGACCAGGCAGGUAGGUCCCUCCUCCGGGCAGUGUCUCUCUCGGUGCUCGAAGUGUUUUGUCGUACGCAGUUGCUUAAUUGCUUUCUCGUUAUCCAAACAAGGAAUGUAAUCAGGUCCCGCUGUGACAUUGCAUAUCUGCCAUGUGUACCCAUAGAUGCUGCCAUCACUGCUUGAUUCUUCUCGUCGACGAUCUUUCUCGUUCUCCGACUGCGCUGCCUGUGUUGACCAUGACUUUUUGGACUCCUUUGACUCCUUGGGUAUCCCCGAGGUCUCAAGUGACCCUGCUGUAGUUGUUUCUUCCACUUUGAUUUCCGUUUUCGAGUCCUUUUGGGCUUCUUGGCUCUCCUUGGAUUCUGUUUGUUGGAAUUCUUGAUCCUCAGUUGACUUUUUUUUACCUCGGUGUCUCUUUCGUGGUUGAUUUUGCUCCAAUGAGGGAGUUUCUUCAUUGUUGUUAUUUGUGUUUGAGGUGUCUUGUUCUUGUUGAUGUUGUAUCUGUUGUUGGGCCCUAUCAUCAUCCUGGUUAUGAAUUUCAGGUUCUUGAGUGAUUUUUUCACCUUCUGUCUCAAGUUUUGGUUGAUCGUUUUGAGAGUCUCCACUUAUUUCUGGGAUAUCGGUUGCUUGUUGUUGCUCUAUGUUUGCAAUUGUUGCUUGGAUUUCUUGUGGAUUAGCGUUGUUUUCAGGCUCUUCCUGUUGUUGCUGCUGCUGCUGCUGCUCUUGUUGUUCUUGCACAUUGGUCUCUGACGAUGUAUCAUUGGGUGUAUCAUUGGGUGUAUCAUUCGAUUUACUAUUGUCAGAUUCCACAUGUUCUGUUGAUUCAUUGCUUUGAUCAGGUUCUUGCACAUCAUUGGCAUUAUCCUUGGAACGAUCCUCACGAGAUUUUGCAUCGUCGCUAACAACAUUAGAACUAUCAUCGGAUUUAAUUGCAUCAAGAGGGAGAUCACCAGGAUUAUCCUCAAAAGCAGGAGUGGACUCUUUAUCCUCGGAUUUGGGGAGUUGGGGUUCCUCAGAGGAAGACACAAAGUCAGUGGUGGUGGCAACGGUGGAGGUGGAGGAAGUUGAAGAGUCAGAAGAAGUGCGAGUGGUGGUUUGCGGGGGAACAACAGAGUUGGAGGUGAGCAUCCAUACUCCAAGAACACAUAAGGCUAAGAAGACGACAGUUGUAACGGUUGAAGCAUAGGAAGAAGAGGAGGAUGUUCUUUUGCUACUACGAGGCCUUCCAAGAGCCAUAAGGAAAAUGAAAGUGAGGAAGUCUGGAGUUUGGUUAUGGUGGGUUCAAAGGGGAAGGAAUAACAAUAAUAAUAAUAAUAAUACGGGAAGAGGACAGAGAAACAUGAGAAAAGGGGAAUUGUGGAAGAGAGACUGAGGAUUCUAAAUUUGGAAGGUUUGAAGAUCCAAAGGACUCGGAGACACACAAGUUUUUUUGAGAUGAACAAUUGAAAUCGGCCAUAUAAUAAUUCUGCUGAAUGGGACAAUUAGAUCCAUUGUCUUUUCCUUCUCUUUCGUCUCCUACUUUCAUUGCAUGCAACAUUCCUUCUCUUCCAUUUGUCCUUGUCCUUGUCUUUGUUCUUUUUUCUUUUUCAUUUUAAAAGUUAUGGUCUUCCCCCACAUCUAGCUGGUAUCUAUUUUAAGAUGUUAUCAAACAAUGAGUUCAAAAUAAUAAUAUCACUAAAACUAUUAUUUAUAUAACAAAA